UGGGGAAUAUUGGACAAUGGGCGCAAGCCUGAUCCAGCCAUACCGCGUGGGUGAAGAAGGCCUUCGGGUUGUAAAGCCCUUUUGUUGGGAAAGAAAAGCAGCCGGUUAAUACCCGGUUGUUCUGACGGUACCCAAAGAAUAAGCACCGGCUAACUUCGUGCCAGCAGCCGCGGUAAUACGUAGGGUGCAAGCGUUACUCGGAAUUACUGGGCGUAAAGCGUGCGUAGGUGGUUGUUUAAGUCUGUCGUGAAAGCCCUGGGCUCAACCUGGGAAUUGCGAUGGAAACUGGGCGAGUAGAGUGUGGCAGAGGAUAGUGGAAUUCCUAGUGUAGCAGUGAAAUGCGUAGAGAUCAGGAGGAACAUCCGUGGCGAAGGCGACUGUCUGGGCCAACACUGACACUGAGGCACGAAAGCGUGGGGAGCAAACAGG
rnacentral:rRNA from 1 species